AAUUGAGGUUCAAAGAAGACAAGGCCUUACCAUAGGUCAGGGGACUUAUAUAUGGAAGGAUGGGUCCUGGAGUCAGGGUCUUCCAACAACUGGCCUGCUGAUGCUGACACAUGCCACCCAACGGCCUCCUGAAUGGCUUUCGUGCACAUACCUUGUUCAAGUAUGUGGAGGAGACCAAACUGAAAAGAAAGCAUCGUAGGUUUUAGACUGAAACAAAUCAGGGCUAACCAGUGGCUGAAAACCAACAACUGGAAGACACAAGAGAGAUGGAGGAAGCCCUUUGGCAGUAGAUGGCUGGGUCCCCGAGUCACCACCUGAAGAAGGACAACCCAGGAGUGUGUCUGACCAGGAAACCCCACUUUGGACUUGCCAUUGAGAUCUGGCUAAGCUGACCCACCAGUGUCCCCCAGGAUCAAGGAGGCAGAACUUGGAAGGACAUGAAGGUUGCCUUUGACACCCUCACGGUUGUACUAUUUUCACUCUUCUGAAUUCUUAUGGCUUCUCUUCUCAGACCUACCCAGGGGCUUCUGGCUCUCUCGUGGCUCCCUGAAUCCUCUGCUAUGACAGUAAGCUUAGGUCCACCUUAAUUAAAAAAAAAAAAGUAGCAAUAAUGACAAUCACAGCGACUGACAUUGGCUCUUUCUCAUGUGCCUGAUGUUAUGCUAAGAAUCACAUUCACGUUAUCCUCCAUGACUUUCCUCAGCAGCUGUAUGAAGCGGCUCUGUGUGUGACAGACACCGUUGGUGCCCAUCUCCAUCUCCUUGCUCCACCCCAGGAAGCCUCCUGUGGGCAGUCUGGUCUCCUGCGUGAUGGCGGUGUCUCUCUGCCUGACAUGUGCUCUGGCCUCAUGGGAAGAUCCUCAGCCUAGUUGGGGGCUAAGCGGGAAGUACCCAUGAAUCCUUGGCCCAGGAACAACCCUCAACCUUGGAAGAAUGGGAAUUCCUGUAUAAAUCCCCCCAGGUUCCUUUCCCUUUGUUGGGACAAUUCUGAAGCAAGUUCCCACAGUGUCCCAAAGGGUCCUCACAGGGGUUGAAAGAAGUGACCACAGUGGGAACCCCUCACUGAAGCCACUUGGACUGAUUUUCCCCCCCUCCCAUCUCACUUCUCCAGUGGUCCCAGGGAUUACCACCCAAACUUGCUCCCCAUUCUUGACUCAAGAUUUGCCCUUGGGGGAAUCCAAACUGAGAUCACACAUGAUUGUUCUUACAUAACACAGGAGAAGUGGAGGCUUAGCGAGGCUGAACUGCCUGCUGUUGUAUAGCUGGUGGAUGACCAGGCAAGACUCGAACCAGGAUUAUUAUUAUUCUCUCCCUGCCUUAUUCUGCUUCCAUCAGAAAUAGUCUGGACCAAUUGUUCUAGUUAAAUGAUUGAAUUAAUUAAUAUAUAGCUUCUUUGCAAAAAGGACUUGAGUUUGCAGAG